UUGAUUUGAGCUUGCUUUCUGCUAUAUUAUAUUAGCCUUUCACUAAACAUUUAAGAAAUCUUUAAUUUUGACUGUUUGAUUGAUUUAUUCUUACUAUCUUUCCAGAAAAAGUGGAGGCAAAUGCUGGUUAGUUCCAUCAAAAAGUCCUCGCCGAAAUUAAAUUUCUCCCAAUCCUUGAUCCUGGAGUUCCCUUGUCUUCUGCAUCUGGUUUAAAAUUACAGGACUUCGAAAUUGAACAUGAAUUGUCGUGAACCCAAAAUUGGUUCGACUGUUCAACGAUGGUUAUAAAUAUAAGUAUUAAACUACUGGCAUAGCAUAUGAUGAAAAACAGGUAUUAUUGAGAAAUCGAAUCUAAAUUUUUCCCCUGCAUUUUUGAUGCCUUCUAAUAAAUUUUUAUUUCACGAUCUUUUCAGUAAAAGUGAACAUCGCAGACGCUUCAUUUCUGGCUGUUUUACUUGCCUUUGUCAUUUACAUUAACUUGUCUUGUUUUUAUUAACUGGUAAGAAAACAAUACCAGUAAUAUAACUGGAAUUGUUUUCUCUUCCACUAAUUCCAUUAUUGUUACUACUGUGUGAAUGGCAUCUUAAAAACCAAAUCCUAAAUUCGAUCUCGAAAGUUUGUUUAAAAGCUUUGUUCAUCUUGAUUGGAUUUUUAUUUUAGCACAAAAAUAGACUAUUGGAAAAUUCAAUUGAAGAAUAAAGUGUCUAUAAACGAACAGUUUCGCAUGUUUAAAUAUCAAGAAUUAUAAAGACUUUUGAACCUGAGAUAAACAAAUAAGCACACUAGGUGUGUUUGUACAUAUACCCUGUAUAAAGUUGUUGCAAAUCGGCAUAUUCUGUGCACGCGUACUAUGUUAGCUGAUUUGCAAUGUUUGUAAAGAUUCUUGAUAAUAAAAUGUUCUUCAUAAAA